UGGUGGAGUGAUUUGUCUGGUUAAUUCCGUUAACGAACGAGACCUCGACCUGCUAAAUAGUUUGGCGAAUUCCCUGUGGAUUCGUGCAUAACUUCUUAGAGGGACUAUCGGUUCGCAGCCGGUGGAAGUUCGAGGCAAUAACA
rnacentral:rRNA from 1 species